rnacentral:rRNA from 1 species
CCUACGGGGGGCAGCAGUGGGGGAUAUUGCACAAUGGGGGAAACCCUGAUGCAGCGACGCCGCGUGGGUGAAGAAGCGCCUCGGCGCGUAAAGCCCUGUCAGCAGGGAAGAAAAUGACGGUACCUGAAGAAGAAGCCCCGGCUAACUACGUGCCAGCAGCCGCGGUAAUACGUAGGGGGCAAGCGUUAUCCGGAUUUACUGGGUGUAAAGGGGGCGCAGACGGUGCUGCAAGCCAGGAGUGAAAGCCCGGGGCUCAACCCCGGGACUGCUCUUGGAACUGGGGGGCUAGAGUGCGGGAGGGGCAGGCGGAAUUCCUGGUGUAGCGGUGAAAUGCGUAGAUAUCAGGAGGAACACCGGUGGCGAAGGCGGCCUGCUGGACUGCAACUGACGUUGAGGCCCGAAAGCGUGGGGAGCAAACAGGAUUAGAUACCCUAGUAGUC